GAGGAGGAGGAGGCAUGAAGCAGUGAAUGGGUGAAAAAUAGAAUAAAUAGAAAAAAUGGUCUGAGAGGAAGAGGAGGUUUUGGCAAAGGCAGAAGAGGAAAACUGAAUGUGUUUGAGGGAAAAAGUAAAAAAAUAAAGGUAUUACAGUAACGGUAUAAUCAGCUCAGUGUUUAGGUGCUUCAGACAUGGCAGCUGUGGGCACCUCAGGCCACACACACCAGCAGAGGAGGGGUUCCCCUUACACCGAGGUCAAAUAAGGACAAGAGAGUGAGUGUAAGAGCACAUAUGUAAGUGUACAGCUUUAUAGUAAGCAGUAAAAGAAGCCCACUUAGCCUCUAAACUGCACAGGCUGUGAUCUACUGCCAUAUCUAGUGAACCGCCAUAGACAGAGAGGGAUCAGCUACUGAACGGAGCCAGUUACAUGUCAGCCUGAAGCAUAUGCCUUUCAAAUUAAAACCAUAUGAGCAAACUCGAACGGAGCAGACCUGAUCCCGCUUACACAGAAACUGUGAAAGAAAACAGCUCACUGCUAUUAGAGAUGUUACUGGCGAUACUGCAGAGAGGGCAGGGACGCUGAUUAAAGACGUGUUUGUCAAACUGCGACACUUUCCUGCUUGUAAGUCCAAAAAACAACAACAAGCAAAACUGCAGCAGAUGCAUGUGGACCUUGAAGACACGGAUGUAAAGGAGCAGAGGUUUCACACAUGAGCUGACAUGCAAACUUGUCACAGUAUACAGAGUGAGAAACCAUCGACUUAAGUAAGUAUACGGUAUAUGAGAAGUAAAUCUCCAUAAGCCUGUAAUUUCCUGGCCGCACGUGCCGAAACAGAGGCGGACCGAGCAAAUACAUCUUGACUCAAUUACUCUUAUUUGUGCUGCUCCUCUCACACAUCAUUACAUAUCACACAAAUCUCUGCAGGAAGAUGUAAAGAUUUCCCAGUUUAUGCACAAUGUAAGAUUUUGACCUUCAACUUAUUGCAACGAGACGAGGCCUGCGAGAAAGAAAUUACCCCGAGUGAGGAGAACGGUUUGGAAAAUGUGGUAUUCCCCCAAAAAAGGCUGUUUUUACAGCCGCGAGCGCGCCGCUCCAGAGGUAUGUGGAAAACGGUUCGUCCCAGGUGGUUGGCCGUGAAUGUGCCCUACAGAAGGAAACUUCCCCAGCAUAUAUUUUUCGGGGUUUUGCGAGUCGUGUGUUCCAGCAUAAAUCAUAAGCUAAUACAUCUCUGACACAUGCUUAAAAGAGCCGGGCUACCACAAAAACGUUUACCUUUUAGAAAAUGAUCGCAGCAGAUGUAGAGGUAAAAAUGAAAACCAUACAGAGAGGAAGAGUAACGGAGCUUAUGCACAAUGUUUGAGCUCAGAACAGAAAGAGGUCAGGGGUGAAAAUAUGAAGAGGAAGUUCAGUCACCAACACAUGACGCUUCUUGAGAAAAGCACAUUUAGAUACAAGCGACUAAAGGAGAAGUAGCUUUCAUCAUUUCAAUGGGAACAAUAAAAGCUGUGCAGCGAGACAACAGUAUGUCCUUGUAAGAAACUGAAGCUGAAUCAACUGGAAUCAGAAGCUGCUUUGUAAUGACGCAGAUGUGUUUGUUGAGGAUGAUGAGGUACUUUCCUUUUUCCUGAAACUUGUUUUACUUUGCAGUUGUUUAUAAUUUCUAAAAGUCUUCUCUAAACACAAUAUUUGUUUUCUAUUGUUCCACCAACUUGGACGCAGGAUUUUGUGCAAAAUUGAAAGAUUUUCUUGCCAGUUUUUCCAUUUUCAACAACAAAACUCCUCUGAUUACAAAAGACAAAUGGAUAAUAGAUAAUAUUACAUUCUUGUACUUUACGUUUCUGUUAUGUUUUAAUGGAGAAGAGACCACAGCAUUUAUAUGACCAAGUUAAAUAUACACAAAAUGUACACAACUACAUGACUAGACAAGCCGAGAACAGAUCAACUAAAAUGUACUUUUACCUAUCGAGCCAUCACAGGAUGGAACUCAAUAACUAAUCAUAUAAAAAAUUCAACCACAAAAUUGGUUUUCAAGAAAAACUGAAAACAACACUUGAUGAGAUGAAGCCUGUACUAAGGUAUCGUAUAUGAUCCUGUCUUAUUUCUAAUUUAUUCCGUCUGUUAUGUCCUUGUAACACCCUUUUUUCCUAUUCUUAUUUAAUUGUUUGGUAAAUGAGUGAUUUUACAAUGUUUUAUUUUCUGCGUUGGACCCCAGGAAGACUAGCUUUGUCUUGACAUAAGCAAAUGGGGAUCCUAACAAACAAUAAACAAUAAGUUAAUAUCUCAAAUCUUCACUCAUGCAUCCGCACAUAAAACAGAAGGCUUUGACAUCGUAUAACCCCGGCUUUACUCUUCAUUUUCUGAUGAGCACAACAACCUAGAAUUAAUUCACCCUAAUUUUCAAACAACCACAACUUUCCAGAUGUAACACGAGCGAAACCACUUUACACAGAAAUUCCUCUCAAAACGCCAAGAGGUGUUAAUACAGGAACCAUUCAGGGCUUUUCUGACAUACAGUGUGUUUAUUCAACAAGUCGACCAGCAACCGACCUUAUGUGUUAAUGCAAAGUGAGCAUUAACACUAAGAGUGUGCAAGCAGGCAGUAAAAUCCGACAAAUACAGCAAUCAAGUAAAGCUCAACAUCAUUCAAUCGAGUGGAACCAUCCAUGUAAAGUUAUUAACCUGCAGCCAAACAAAGGCCGGGUGAAAAAUGUUCCUCCCAACACCAACGCCUCGGAGGGGAGGACGCUCGCAAAGAUUGUCAAUUUUAGAAAUGAGAGGUUUUGUGUUGCCUGAGCAAAAAAGCUGCAAGUACCAUAAUUAUAGUGCAAUUGUAGAAAUGAACUGAACCAUCAAGGCAAAUGUGGAAUAAAUUUCUGUCUGGACAAACAACUGUUACAGUGCGUUUUUUCUUUUGUAGCAUGCAUGUGAAACCUAACAUUUCAUCUAAUUUGCACGUAGGCUCAAUAUUCAUGCCAGUCUCAUCGCAGAGACUUCUAGGAUGUAAAUCUACAGCUGAACCAUGUUAUGGUCAACCACACUGCAGCUGAGGGGUAAAGUGUUUGCACCCUGCAGAGCAUAAAAUAUGUCCUCUCUUAAAGUAUUGUUGCGUAAUUUCAUGCCAAAAACACACUUUGGUCCUCAGCUGAACAUUAAUGCCUCAGCUUUGAGGGGAAAUAAGAAACGUACUUCUCUGAAACCCCAGCACAUGGUGUUAUGGGGACCAAAUGUUUCUUAAUCACACACACGAACCCUGUCUUUCUUUCACUGCAUUGCCCAUUCCUGCAAUGAUCUGGAUAGCUGCUCUUAAGCCUUUGGAUCAGAUUAAAACAGUGCAGCUCUGCCAAAGAUAAUGGAAAAUAAAAGUGAGAAUAGUUAUCGUUAAUAGGAGUAAUGACUGAGUAUCGGUUGGAUUUGGCAAAGUUCAAAACCAAACCCAAAAGCCAGCCAAAAGGUCAAAGUUGAGUUGGCAACGUCCGUGACAUAUAGUAACCUUUAUGCUGCCCUGAAUGUAAACGCACAAAACUCACACACACUUCAGGCUGUUCAUGUGUGGUGCACUGUGUUUGUGUUUUUUUUAAGCCAAACUUAUUGGAUCAUUUAGUCAGAGAAUGAAUAAAAUCACCAACAAUGUGCCUCAGCGGGAUAUCUGAGUGGGAAGUUCUCGUUGACUUACUGUGAGAGUGAAACUUGCUUGUGAGAAACCUCAUCCCUCCUCCUGAAGCCUCCUCAGAGCAGAACAGCUGAUCACUGCAGGUGAGCUGCUGAUUCCAAAGACAGCCUGACAGCGCCAUCUAGUGGACAGACCUGGGUAUUGACGACAGGGAGCAACUAGUUACAACAGAUGUGUGGAUGGUGAAACUUAAGCUUGGUUUAUAGCUUACUUAACACCAAUGCUAUUAGUAGGAAAUGUGCCAACUUCUAAAAAAAGUUCAUUUGGAUGUAUGGUAGGUAAGUUUGUUGGUUAAUGUGUAGGCUAAAUUUGUUGGAAAAUGGCUGUAGCCUAUCCCUGGAGACAAUUUAUCAAAAUGCUUACAUUUGAACUGCAAAUUUAAGAUAAUUUCAGCUGGUUUAACAUGUAAAAACAUGGAAGUAGGAACAGGCUACGAAUAGGGUAUAGGGGAGAGUGUGGUACGAUGACCCAUUUUUCAUAUUUCGGAUGACUACAUUAAGUCAAUCAUAGUUUUGUCUCUAACUCGUGUAUCUGCAUAUAUUUCAAGAUGUUGUUCAUCCCUGCAAACCAACAGAAUGAGUGUAAACAGAACUGUCUUGAUAAUAUAGCAUGACAAUAGGUGUAUGGGGUAAGUUGACCAUACAUCCUCACCUUCUCACCCUAAAUAACAGUCACUUCUUCACAUUCAUGUAUUCAAUUGGUACAAUAAAUCUUUUUAAUUACUGCAUAUAACUGCUAAAAAGCUGUUUUGUAAAAAGUCAUUUUAACAUGAGAAUGUCUUUAAGUGAUUCAGAACAUUCACAGCUGUAUUUUAGAAAAGAAAAAGUCAAACAUUUUAACAAUCUGAACUGAAACUCUGAUCCUCUCAUCAGACUCCUUUACUUUCUCAGUUACCCCACAACUAUGAUGACUUUAUUAGUCCUCUAAGUUGAAAUGGUGGACUUUUAUGUUUUUGACCUCAUGUUGGAGCUCAUAGAUACCACAAUUGAUGUAUAAAACAAAUUUAAAAUGAUCUGACAGACUAAAUUCACUUUCAAGAGUGAAAAGUGGGAUGUUUUUGGAAACAAAUGUCUAAUCCCUUCACCCAUGUGCUUCUAACCUUCACAGACUCCAUGAAUUGAUGCCCAUCUCCUAAAUAUCCGGUCACAUUUGGUCAAUUUCUUUUACCAUUUCCAAGCAGCAGGGGGUGGAUCAACUUACCCUUUGGCUCAACUUACCCCACUCUCCCCUACAUGGUGAAACUUAAGCUUGGUUUAUAGCUUAACACCAAUGCUAUUAGUAGGUAAUGUGCCAACUUAAAAAAAAUAGUUUAUGCAUUCAUAUAUAUUGUGUUAUUUUCCUGGUUAAUGUGUAGACUAAGUUUGUUGGAAAACGCCUAUAACCUAUCCUGGUGACAGUUAAUCAAAAUACUGACAUUUGAACCGCAAAUCUAGGCUCGUUUCAACUGGUUUGACAUGUAAAAACAUAGAAAUAAGUACAGAAUACGAAUAGGAAAUAAGGUUUUCUACGUAAGCUAGCUGUCACAUUUUAACGGUUUAAGUCAGUAAUAUUAAAUUCGUAUUGGCAGUUAUACUUCCCUGCUGAAAUUAAGGCUGUAAUGUUUGUCGUUGUUAUUAAAUUGUGGUGAAAAUAACGGAGAAUAACCGGAGUAAUCGCACUUCUUUGCUAGGAAACCCCAAACG